CCUACGGGUGGCAGCAGUGGGGAAUAUUGGGCAAUGGACGCAAGUCUGACCCAGCAACGCCGCGUGAAGGAAGAAGGCUUUCGGGUUGUAAACCUCUUUUAUAAGGGAAGAAUAAAUGCUACGUGUAGCAUGAUGCCUGUACCUUAUGAAUAAGCAUCGGCUAACUCCGUGCCAGCAGCCGCGGUAAUACGGAGGAUGCGAGCGUUAUCCGGAUUUAUUGGGUUUAAAGGGUGCGUAGGCGGUUUUUUAAGUUAGUGGUUAAACGUCGGGGCUUCACCUUGAUUUGCCAUUAAUACUGUAAGACUCGAGUUCAGACGAGGUAGGCGGAAUAAGUUAAGUAGCGGUGAAAUGCUUAGAUAUAACUUAGAACUCCGAUAGCGAAGGCAGCUUACCAGACUGCGACUGACGCUGAAGCACGAGAGCGUGGGUAGCGAACAGGAUUAGAUACCCCUGUAGUC
rnacentral:rRNA from 1 species